CUCUCCCUCAGACAAAGCGGAACUUUUUCAUCGCCUACAAACACCAAAACCACACUCUCCCCCUCCUCUUUUCAGCUUAUAUAAACUCAAGUAUCAGGUGAUACCUGCAUUAAUACCAUUCUGUUUGCAUCGUUACCAUCACCCUCACCCUCACCCUCAUCCUCAUCAUCAUCAUCAUCAUCAUCGCCAUCAGAAGUCAUGUCUUCACGUUCUCUCCUGCUGGUUCUGCUGGGUCUCGCCUGCCUUCAGUCCUUCACAAUGGCCAGCAAUGAAAAUGAACCACAUCGAUGCUGUUUCAUUUACCAGACCAAUCGAAUCCCUGUAAAACGCAUUACAGCGUAUGAAGUAAUAGACCCUCGGUGUACAAAACCUGGAGUCAUUUUUACUGUAAAGAACGGCCAUCAGGUGUGUGCAGACCCCAGGGAAGAUUGGGUGAAGAAGAACAUGAAAGCAGUUGACCAGCGCCUGUUUACUCCUGAAAUUUAAAUGCUUUCUCCAUUAAUACAAAUUAUUAUUCUUUCUUUUUUUAAAAAAUGCUUUUUUUAAGGAUUUACACAGGACGAAUAAAGUUUUUUAUUAUAAAUCAUAUUUACACAAGCUUUUGGUUGAAUUAGUCUAGCAUCGUGUAACUGAACUGUUGGCUGUGAGGAUGAAUGAAUGAUAUUUUUAUACAUAUUAAAGGACAUUUUGAAAUGCAUAUUAUGACAACGUUUCUAUUUUUAAGCACAUUUUUACAUUUUAAAAGAAAGCAAUGUUGGUCACCUUCAAAGAGAUUGAAAUGUUCAUCUUUGAGAGCAGCAUUUGAAAAUGUGAAAAUAAAUAAAUAAAUAAAGAG